UACGGAGGGGGCUAGCGUUGUUCGGAAUUACUGGGCGUAAAGCGCACGUAGGCGGCUUUGUAAGUUAGAGGUGAAAGCCCGGGGCUCAACCCCGGAAUUGCCUUUAAGACUGCAUCGCUAGAAUUGUGGAGAGGUAAGUGGAAUUCCGAGUGUAGAGGUGAAAUUCGUAGAUAUUCGGAAGAACACCAGUGGCGAAGGCGACUUACUGGACACAUAUUGACGCUGAGGUGCGAAAAGCGUGGGGAGCAAACAGG
rnacentral:rRNA from 1 species